rnacentral:rRNA from 1 species
AGAAUCAACGCUGGCGGCGUGCCUCAGACAUGCAAGUCGAACGCGAAAGUUUCCUUCGGGAGACAAGUAGAGUGGCGCACGGGUGAGUAACACGUAGGUAAUCUACCUUCGGAUGGGGAAUAACAGUCGGAAACGGCUGCUAAUACCGCAUAAUGCAGCGGCACCUAAUGGUGACAGUUGUUAAAGCGGGGGAUCGAAAGACCUCGCGUCUGAAGAGGAGCCUGCGGCGGAUUAGCUAGUUGGUAAGGUAAUGGCUUACCAAGGCUACGAUCCGUAACC